AAUUCGAUAAUACACGAAAAACCUUACCAAGGUUUGACAUCCCUCGCAAAGCUAUAGAAAUAUAGUAGAGGUUAUCGAGGUGACAGGUGGUGCAUGGCUGUCGUCAGCUCGUGUCUUGAGAUGUUUGGUUAAGUCCCGCAACGAGCGCAACCCCACUCUUUAGUUACUUGUCUAAAGGGACUGCACAGUAAUGUAGAGGAAGGAUGGGAUCACGUCAAGUCAUCAUGCCCCUUAUGCCUUGGGCUGCAAACGUGCUACAAUGGCGAACACAAUGUGUUGCAAACCAGCGAUGGUAAGCUAAUCACCAAAUUUCGUCUCAGUUCGGAUAGGAGGCUGCAAUUCGCCUCCUUGAAGUUGGAAUCACUAGUAAUCC
rnacentral:rRNA from 1 species